GUACUCAAGAUGGUGUCAAGAAAAGAACCAUUUGGGUUUCCAAGCCUAUUGUGAUUAACCUCUUAGGACCCAACGUAGUUGGGGACCAACAAGCUCAAACUUGAUCAAUAGGUGACUUUGUAGGACAUUAGAGACUUGGAUACAUAAUGAAGAAUUAAGGGGUCUUCACCAUUCAUAUUAUCUCAAGCCAAGUCAUUUGGAUUAUCGAGUUUCUAUCUUAUAUCCAAUGUGCCUCCUUGCGGUAACUUAUACUUAAAC
rnacentral:lncRNA from 1 species